rnacentral:tRNA from 1 species
GAGGGUAUAGCUCUAGUGGUAGAGCACAUGCUUAGCACACAUCAGGUCCUGGGUUCAAUCCCCAGUACCUCCA